rnacentral:rRNA from 1 species
CCUACGGGAGGCAGCAGUGAGGAAUAUUGGUCAAUGGACGAGAGUCUGAACCAGCCAAGUAGCGUGAAGGAUGACUGCCCUAUGGGUUGUAAACUUCUUUUAUAUGGGAAUAAAAUGUUCCACGUGUGGGAUUUUGUAUGUACCAUAUGAAUAAGGAUCGGCUAACUCCGUGCCAGCAGCCGCGGUAAUACGGAGGGACAGAGCGUUAUCCGGAUUUAUUGGGUUUAAAGGGAGCGUAGGUGGAUUGUUAAGUCAGUUGUGAAAGUUUGCGGCUCAACCGUAAAAUUGCAGUUGAAACUGGCAGUCUUGAGUACAGUAGAGGUGGGCGGAAUUCGUGGUGUAGCGGUGAAAUGCUUAGAUAUCACGAAGAACUCCGAUUGCGAAGGCAGUUCACUGGACUGCAACUGACACUGAGGCUCGAAAGUGUGGGUAUCAAACAGGAUUAGAUACCCCGGUAGUC